rnacentral:rRNA from 1 species
GAUGAACGCUGGCGGCGUGCCUAAUACAUGCAAGUCGAGCGAACGGACGAGAAGCUUGCUUCUCUGAUGUUAGCGGCGGACGGGUGAGUAACACGUGGAUAACCUACCUAUAAGACUGGGAUAACUUCGGGAAACCGGUGCUAAUACCGGAUAAUAUUUUGAACCGCAUGGUUCAAAAGUGAAAGACGGUCUUGCUGUCACUUAUAGAUGGAUCCGCGCUGCAUUAGCUAGUUGGUAAGGUAACGGCUUACCAAGGCAACGAUGCAUAGCCGACCUGAGAGGGUGAUCGGCCACACUGGAACUGAGACACGGUCCUGACUCCUACGGGAGGCAGCAGUAGGGAAGCUUCCGCAAUGGGCGAAAGCCUGACGGAGCAACGCCGCGUGAGUGAUGAAGGUCUUCGGAUCGUAAAACUCUGUUAUUAGGGAAGAACAUAUGUGUCAGGAACUGUGCACAUCGUGACGGUACCUAAUCAGAAAGCAACGGCUAACUACGUG